GACGUAGGGUGCGAGCGUUGUCCGGAUUUAUUGGGCGUAAAGAGCUCGUAGGCGGCUCGUCGCGUCGGCUGUGAAAACCCGCGGCUUAACCGUGGGCUUGCAGCUGAUACGGGCGGGCUAGAGUUCGGUAGGGGAGACUGGAAUUCCUGGUGUAGCGGUGAAAUGCGCAGAUAUCAGGAGGAACACCAAUGGCGAAGGCAGCUCGCUGGAACGGAACUGACGCUGAGGCGCGAAAGCGUGGGGAGCGAACAGG
rnacentral:rRNA from 1 species